GAGUUUGAUCGUGGCUCAGAGCGAACGUUGGCGGCGCGCCUAACACAUGCAAGUCGAACGCGAAAAGCCUUCGGGCUGAGUAGAGUGGCGCACGGGUGAGUAACACGUGAGUAAUCUGCCCUUUUGCCUGGGAUAACAUGCCGAAAGGCGUGCUAAUACCGGAUAAGACCACGAUUUCUUCGGAAAAUGUGGGAAAAGACGGGGAUUCGAAAGAACCUGUCACAGAAGGAUGAGCUCGCGGCCUAUCAGCUAGUUGGUGAGGUAAUGGCUCACCAAGGCUAAGACGGGUAGCUGGUCUGAGAGGAUGAUCAGCCACGCUGGAACUGAGACACGGUCCAGACUCCUACGGGAGGCAGCAGUGGGGAAUUUUGCGCAAUGGGCGAAAGCCUGACGCAGCGACGCCGCGUGUGCGAUGAAGGCCUUUGGGUCGUAAAGCACUGUCGACC
rnacentral:rRNA from 1 species